GUACCUACGGGACGCAGCAGUGAGGAAUAUUGGUCAAUGGGCGGGAGCCUGAACCAGCCAAGCCGCGUGAGGGAAGAAGGUACAGCGUAUCGUAAACCUCUUUUGUCAGGGAACAAAGGCGGGGACUAGUCCCCGGAUGAGGGUACCUGAAGAAAAAGCAUCGGCUAACUCCGUGCCAGCAGCCGCGGUAAUACGGAGGAUGCGAGCGUUAUCCGGAUUUAUUGGGUUUAAAGGGAGCGUAGGCCGGCUUUUAAGUCAGCUGUGAAAGUCCGCGGCUCAACCGUGGAAUUGCAGUUGAAACUGGG
rnacentral:rRNA from 1 species